UAAUACAACAUUCUCGAACUAGGACUUGCUCAAUCUUAUACUCUUGAGACAGCUAUCACAAAUGGUCAAAUAUAGGCAUAUAGAUUUUGCAAGUUUUCAAUAGAAAUACAGAAUAGGUUUGUCCUAGAAAAGGAACUAGAAUAUGCUUAGUCAGUGCUGAUUUGGUUAAUUGUCAGUGCACCAUUCAUAAGCUACGAAAAUCGAAUGGGCAGCGAAGACUAAAAAUUUAAGCACCUCAUCUUAAAACUUUGAAAAGCAUUUUGUUAGGGGAUGCAUUGUCUCUCCUUCUCGAGGCUAAGCUUUAUGCUCACAGUAAAGAGUCGUGACCCAACAAACUUCACUAAAAGUUGGAGAGGGGGGUGGAUGGCAUUUCAAAGGAUUUAAUAGCAAACUUUAUCCAUGGAGAGAAAAUUGACAAAUGGCGUUACUCAUUUCACAUUUAUAAUAGUGUAGUUUACAAAACCUAGUGUCAGGUCUAAAUAAUUUUCACUACCGGAAUCCGGGUCUUUGUCGAGUGUUA
rnacentral:lncRNA from 1 species